AACCGGGGUGCUUCUUCGGAAGCUGAGACAGGCGAGAGCCUGACCCGUCGAACCUGUUGGUUAAUACCAUCGUAGGGAGUAAAA
rnacentral:ncRNA from 1 species